GCCUUCGUAGUGUAACGGUAGCGUACUCGGCCCGUAAUCGAGGAAGUCCGGGUUCGAAUCUCGGUGAGGGCA
rnacentral:tRNA from 1 species